rnacentral:rRNA from 1 species
UCGAGAAUCUUCCCCAAUGGGCGAAAGCCUGAGGGAGCGACGCCGCGUGAGGGAUGAAGGCCCUUUGGGUUGUAAACCUCUGUUAGGGGGAAAGAACAGCGGGAGGAGCAACAUGCCUCCUGCCUGACGUUACCCCCAGAGAAAGCUCCGGCCAACUCCGUGCCAGCAGCCGCGGUAAUACGGGGGGAGCAAGCGUUGUCCGGAAUCAUUGGGCGUAAAGGGCGUGUAGGCGGCCUGGCAAGUCGAAUGUGAAAUCCCACGGCUCAACCGUGGAACUGCGUUCGAAACUGCCUGGCUCGAGUGUGGGAGAGGUGUGCGGAAUUCCUGGUGUAGCGGUGGAAUGCGUAGAUAUCAGGAAGAACACCGGUGGCGAAGGCGGCACACUGGCCUGACACUGACGCUGAUACGCGAAAGCGUGGGGAGCGAACGG